UACGUAGGGUGCAAGCGUUGUCCGGAAUUAUUGGGCGUAAAGAGCUCGUAGGCGGUCUGUCGCGUCGGCUGUGAAAACCCGGAGCUCAACUCCGGGCCUGCAGUCGAUACGGGCAGACUGGAGUUCGGCGGGGGAGACUGGAAUUCCUGGUGUAGCGGUGAAAUGCGCAGAUAUCAGGAGGAACACCGGUGGCGAAGGCGGGUCUCUGGGCCGAUACUGACGCUGAGG
rnacentral:rRNA from 1 species